UGCUAGAAAUCACUGGAGCAGGACAUCAGAGUUUAAACUCUCAUUAUAUUUGUUUCCAUCUUGAUUAAAAAGAUGUAAUGCAGUUCAGUGUUUGUGUGAUUCUUAACUCUCUUUAGACAGAAGCUCUUGAGAAGGAAGUCCUUUUUCUCUACAGUUUGUGUUUCUAUCAUUGUUGAUAAGAUGGAGUUAACAGACAUCCUGUUAUCAUCUCCAAUACAAUCACUGAGAGUCAGGACAAUGAUGUCAUCAUGCUAAAUGUCAUGUCAAUGUUGAGAGUUCCUCAGCAGAUGAUGAAGAUGAAGGACCAAUGAUGUGAAGGCCCAGAUCCAUCAGAGUAUCAAUGUUCUUCCUCUGUCUCCUCCCCUCUCACUGCAGACAUGAAACACUGGCUGAGAAACAUCCUGAUUCUGACUCUCUGUCUAGAGUGUAAAGGAGAAGACAGAGUGAUCCAGCCAACAGGAGAUGUCAUCGCUACUGAAGGACACACAGUUACACUUGGCUGUACAUUUGAGACCAGUAAGCCAGGUCCAUAUUUAUACUGGUACAAACAAGAAGCUAAAGAUCACCCAAAGUACAUGCUGAAGCGUUUGUCAAACACAGGAGAUAAUGCUCCAGAGUUCCAGAAAGACAGAUUUGAUGCAACACUCAACAAGACAUCAGUUCCUCUGAAGAUCCAGAAGCUUCAGCUGUCUGACUCUGCUGUGUACUACUGUGCUCUGCAGCCCACAGUGACAGGAAACACCAAAACUCUGUACAAAAACAUGAUGAGCAAAGACAACACAAGACUCCACAACAUCCACUAGAGGGAGUCACACACUGUUAGACUUUAACAGGAGGUCCAAAUA